GUUAGAAAUGAGAUGCAGAAAGAUGUACGCGUGGAUUGGAUCGCGACAGCAUCUGUCCGUGAUCCCAGACAGCACCGAGAUGCAGCCGAAAUGUUCAGAAAGUGCAGACAAGCCCAUGAAACAAGUCUCCGACUGUGUCUCAUCGCCCACGGAUCGUCACGGGCCGGAGGCGAUCACACUUCACGACAUUGCACUGGCUCGCUGACAAGAUUUUACACCGCCCCUCGAAUCCGAUGCUUCACGGUGAGUACCACAGAAUCAGCGUUACUCCAGAGAGCCGGUGGACAUAUGUGUAUAUAUAUAUAUAUACAUAUUUUAUAUAUAUAUAUAUAUAUAUAUAUAUAUAUAAAAUCAUCAGAGUGCGCUUUCACGUUGCGCCAAUCCCGUGCCAAAAUGUACAAUGGCGCACGGGAAGCAGGUGAAGAGGACUUUGGACAUUACUGCGCACUAACCUCACACGUCUCCGUCACCUCUGUCCGCCCCACCCCGACUUCCAUCUGAACUCGAGCAGCGUUAUUGGAUCAGCACCAUUCACUUCAACAACAAAAAAACAAACCCAAAAACAUCUCCGUGGAAGAGCAACUCACCUCUCUUCCCCGGGUGUUGUGUUUUUGUCCUGGUGACUGUCUGUCGACACUCCGGGACGGACCUUGUGUGCCGUGGCCGUGCGCUCCUCUCCUGCCUCCCCCGCCCUGUCACCCGGCUGCGCGCAGCACCGGCCACUCUUCCGUGAUGUCCAAAACCCGCGGAUGCCGCGCAGCGCCGCAGAGACGCGCAGGACCGUGACUCAGCGCCGCAGUGUCUCCUCUGGGGCGCGCGGACGGCUCACUGCAACACGGCGGCUCCAGGGAGAGACCCGCUAAAAAUAGUUCAGCGGUCGACGCCGAGGCAGGGACCCCUGCACGCGGCAAAAAAUAGACCCUAACGUGCAGGAGAGUAACCAUCGUCACCAUCAUCAUCAUCAUCAUCAUCAUCUCCAUCAUCGUCAUCAUCAUCUCCAUCAUCUCCAUCAUCGUCAUCAUCGUCAUUAUCAUUAUUAUCACUAGAGGUCAUAGGAGAGAAAUCAGGCCACAUAGUCUGACCCCUAACCUGGAAUCUAAGAGCUGCAGCGUUUAAAGUGGACUCCAUGAGUCUGACACGACUUAGAAGUGGAUUUAGACUUCACUGAAUAUCGAAGCCGGAUAAAGGUUUUUACAUCCUGGAUACUCUACAAGUCGGCAUCUUCCAAAUCCAAUAAUGCUGCUGCCCUUUACCAAGGAGGUUGAGGAGGCUUUCCCACCGAUUCAGUGUCAAACUUUCAUUAAAUUGAGGGAUUUGAGAUAAACAGGUUUAAGAACGAGCGCCCAAGGUAAACCCCCGGGCCAAGCUUGGACAACACAAGAGCCUUCACUCCCCAUGGUCUAACUCGAUUGUAUGCGUCAGAAUGAGAAGGAAAAAAACCUCCCAUGAUCCAGAGUGCUCAUACUGCUGCUGUUAACCCUGCAGUCACCAGAUAAUUACUCAAACUUGUUUGCGGGAUUAGAAAACAUUUUGGCUCGACAUUUUGAUGUUGAAGUGUAAUGGCGAUAGACAAAGGUCCACCAUCCACAUUCAUAUUGGUCCACUGUGAGCUUGGCAUGGACACCAGGACGCUGUUUUCGUGGGAAAAAAUGAUGGCUCAAUUUAGGGCACCAAAAUGUGCGUAACAAAAAUAAAGAGAGGAAUCCUGUUAUCUAAGCGAUGGAAAUGGCAGACGGCGGAACAGAAGAAUUGAUAGAAACAACAUCAACCUCGCAAGAGAAAUAGAAUCUGACUGACGCAGGAACAAAAGAAGGUGAAGAAGGAGAGCAAUGGAAAAAGUUAAAUUGGUUUUUUUUUACAGUUGUUUUCUGCUCCGGUUCCUCUGUUAUCUCCAAAGUGGAGCUGAUGAGUUCUUCGGGAGCUCUGAAGAAAAGUACCAGCGUCCUUACCGGCGUCUGUCUACUGCAUGGUCUUUACAACAGUAACUAAACAGUGAUACCACCAGGAGACACUUGGGGAACAAAUGUUGUCCGCUGCCUGCUCAGGACAGAAAUGUGCCUGAUAAUGAGCCUUGAUUGUUGUUACACCAACUGGAUGCUGAUGGUUGUAUUGGAAUCUGGCAGCAUUCAUCAGCUUAUCAUUAUGAUAACUCAAGAAGUUUUUUAAUCUAAUCUGGAUACAACUUGGCAUGUUGGUUGGAGGUGGGGUCAGGAUCUGCCCUAUUGAUUUUCUUUACAAAUCUGUCAAAGGUCAAGGUCACAGCUCGGGAUUAAAGUUUUAGCCUAAUGCUAAUGCCUGGAAAACACAGUGAAACAUAUGAUAUUCUUUAAUUCAGUUACAGAUUGUAUUCAUUGAUGUAAAACAUAAUGUGAAACAAUACAGCACUGAUAUUGAUAGCUAUACUGUACAUAUGCCCACAAAAUAAAUAUAUUAUAGUCACCGGGUCUUACAAUCUCAUUUUAAAGCAGCAUUAUCAAUGUAUUAUUAUUUAUUGCUGGCCUGCAUCUCUUUUAUAUAGUUGUCAAGUUAUAAUAUUUUCACCAAUUUGUCAAUCAAUAAAAUUCACCUGUUCUUAUCUUA